rnacentral:rRNA from 1 species
AUGCAAGAUGAAUUUAUUGCUUUAAUCAAGAAUUCGACGUGGUCUUUGGUUCCCAAACCUGCAGGUGUUAACGUGGUCACUGGCAAGUGGAUAUAUCGUCAAAAAUUCCACCCCGAUGGCUCCUCGGCGCGGUACAAAGCUCGGCGGGUCGUUCGCGGAUUCACUCAGAAGGAAGGCGUGGACUAUGAUGAGACAUUCAGUCCGGUGGUGAAACCGGCCACCAUUCGUGUGGUCCUCAGCAUUGCCACUUCUUGCUCUUGGCCGAUCCAUCAACUUGAUGUCAAGAACGCUUUUCUUCAUGGAGAGCUCAAGGAGACUAUCUACUAUGCUCAACCAUCCGGCUUUAUCGAUCCCUCUCAUCCGGAUCAUGUUUGCCUCCUUCGUAAGUCCCUUCACGGCUUGAAACAAGCACCCCGUACUUGGUUUCAUCGCUUCAAGUCGUUUUUGCUCUCCCGUGGUUUUCAUGCCUCUCGAAGUGAUUCUUCCCUAUAUUCAUUUUGUCACACGGGUCAUCUCUUGCAUAUCUUCUAG